rnacentral:rRNA from 1 species
GACGAACGCUGGCGGCGUGCUUAACACAUGCAAGUCGAACGGAAAGGCCCUGCUUUUGUGGGGUGCUCGAGUGGCGAACGGGUGAGUAACACGUGAGUAACCUGCCCUUGACUUUGGGAUAACUUCAGGAAACUGGGGCUAAUACCGGAUAGGAGCUCCUACUGCAUGGUGGGGGUUGGAAAGUUUCGGCGGUUGGGGAUGGACUCGCGGCUUAUCAGCUUGUUGGUGGGGUAGUGGCUUACCAAGGCUUUGACGGGUAGCCGGCCUGAGAGGGUGACCGGCCACAUUGGGACUGAGAUACGGCCCAGACUCCUACGGGAGGCAGCAGUGGGGAAUAUUGCACAAUGGGCGGAAGCCUGAGGCAGCAACGCCGCGUGCGGGAUGACGGCCUUCGGGUUGUAAACCGCUUUCGCCUGUGACGAAGCGUGAGUGACGGUAAUGGGUAAAGAAGCACCGGCUAACUACGUG